UUGCUGGGGAAGAAGCACAGGACAGCAUGACUACCCUGCCCAGCCCAGGGAUCGGAUGGUCAGGGAACUGAGCCCAUGUCAGCCAUCCCUGGGGAGAAACAAGAACAACAGAGGUUCCCACACGGGGCAAGUCAAACUCAGCUGGGGAAACAAAGACCAUCUGGCACAGACCCACGUGGGAACAGCGGCCCACAGCACAGGUGACAGGGCUGAGUGCUCCCAUGCCAGCCCCCACUCCCCAGCAGCCAAGGGGCUGGAGUGGGCUGGGAAGGUGAACAACCUCUACUACUGUAAAGACAUUUCGAUGCCGAAGGUGCUCCUUCAGCGUCCCUCCCGUAGGAAGCCUUUCUUGGCGCUUCCCAAGCCAGUGCCGGAUGUUCCUUCCUCCAUGACCCAAGCACAUCACACACUGGGGCAAUUACUAAUGGGUCUGUUCCCCUCUGGGUCUGGUGCCCCAAGGCCAGGGCCCCAUCCCUCUCCUCUCCUGGGUCGGCACUCAGACUGCACAUAGAAAAUGCUUGCGGGAGAAGGCAGGAAGAAAGUGCAAGAGACAGGAGCCUCUGAAUACCCAGGCAGAUCCUAAAACAGGACAACCCAAUGCCUCCCACUGGGCUCCCACUCUAUAACAGCAGCUACUGUCAGCUUCUCUGCCCUGUAUUCUCAGCACUCAGCACAGAGCCUGCCACGUCACAGGUCCCUGGACAGUAGGGAAUGAAUGAACGACUGAACGAACGAACGAAUGAACAACACGUGUACACAACCAUGAACAUAUCAAUAGAUAAACAUACUGCACUAAAGUACUCAAAACCCUGAGCUGCCUCUGGAACUCCUCUCCCCAUUCUGGGCUAGAGAAAUAGUGAUGUGAUUAAAACAUUUCAGGCCCAGACCUCCCAGAUGAAGGGAUGAGGGGCCUGGCGGGGACCCCCAUCAGGGCAGGGUGCCAUGCAGGGGACAAGGCCGGGAUCCCUCACAGGAUGCCCUUUUGCAGGCUCCUUGCUUUUCAAGAUUGCAUUAGGGAUCAAUUAAGGAGCAAGUGUCAAGCACAGGGACCAGAUAGUCAGGCCCUUGGGCAGGUCAGGGCUCCCCUCUCAGCAGCCCACAUGUGAGGCCCCAGAGAAAAGAGGGGACAGGCACACAAAAGCCUGAGGCCAACAACAAGUGAAGGGGCCAAGCCAGCAGUCAGAUGGUGGCUGUCACACCCAUCCAACUAGCCCACAAAGGACACCGCAGUCUACCAAAGCCACCGCAUGCCUCUGGCUGCCUGCCCUUGGCAUGACCACAAGCUCCCAGAGACCCAAAAAGCACCUGUUCCUCCUAACUCCCAACCCUCCUGGCCAGGGGGCCCUCACGGUGUCCUUGAGAGUGAGCCAGGGUAUAAGGAAACAAAGACAAAUCAGAAGGAGCUGGCUCCUGGUCCUAAACCCAGAAAAGACACACUGUGCCACCGUACAGGAGAGGGCCCGACACACAGCAGGCGUGCCCCCAAAGCUGGCUGAAUGGAAUGAAGAUAGCUCCCCACUUCUAUUCUGACCAGGAACAAGCUUCAAGGUCCAGAGCAGACCGAGCACGCUGAGCCAGCUUUCUAAAGAGAAAAGCUCCUUUGUACCACGUGUCACUCUGUAGCCUCUCAGCCAGAAAGGAAGUACAGGGUGGGUGCCAGCCCGUCCCACAGCAACUCCACCCCUGUGUCUGCAGAGCAGCCUGGAGAUGGGCCAGAGUCCCUGGGGAAGGGAGGCUGACAGCUCCUCUCCAGAUAGGCAGGCAGGCGCUGGCGCAGGGGGGCCUGGGAGCUGAGCUGCUCCCCUGCCCCCCACGACUUGAGACAGGCAGCUGUUUCAUCAAAGCAUGAGCUAAUUAGGGCUGUCUCUGCCAUCAUGUGCCUAAGGAACGCUCACCCAUGACAGGAGGGUCCAGGAAGAGAAGACGACCACGCUGAGAGAUUCACACAAACAUCAAAUGCUGCUUCCCCAAGGGGGCUGAGAGAUCUGACAUCGCAUCAGCCUUUGGGAGCACUGCCAAGGAGUCCCAUCCCUCAUGGGCCCUCAGAGCAGCAGAGACAAGGCCCUCCAAAGACAGCACAAAGCUCAUCACAGCACCCCAUCAUCGCAGCCUCAGUUAAUCACCCAGGGCUGGGCAACCAAAGCCCUUCCACUUUCUGCACUGUGACCAGGGCAAAGAGAAGUCCCUUCUCUUCAGAAGGUGGGCUGAUGUGGGUCGGGAGCCACCCACAGCCAAGCCAGCAGCAGCCCAGUCCCACCCACUCUGUCCCCCUCAGGCAGGCUCUUCCCACCCCAUUUAGAGUAGGAGAGAAGAGAGCUCCAACAUCAGAUAAGUAAAUCGGAGAGAAAAGAGAAAGUCUGACCUUUUGUAAAUUGCUGAAAUCAGGUUCAUAAGGCAAUAAAUUCAUGUUUUCACCCACAGCCAAGUCUGUGGGUACGGCAGGACCAUGGGCCAAACAUGGGCUGUGACAGUGCACAGCCUUGGCAGCCCUGGGCCCAUGCCCUGCCUGGCCUCUUCACAUGAUCAGCUUAAACGAGGUACCCAUGGAACCCUGGGAACUCCAGGCCUUACCCCAGGGUUCCCACAGCUUCAGGAGUUUCCUAAAAGGCCACCCUGUGAAGUGGCCUUUUAGGGCUGCCCAGGCAAGGGGUUGAAGAAACACAGCAGAGGAAGAGGGGGAAGAUGAGGCUUGCGCUUCCAGCUGCUCCUCAGUCCAUCCAGGCAGGGCCAGUAGAGCUGAAGGUUUCCUGAGCAAUCACCCACCAAGGGUAGAAUCUGCUCCUAGAAACAGACCCUCUCGCCAGUCAGCUCUGCCUUGGGCUUUAAAUGCUCACAGCCUGGGGCUGGGGGAGGCAACUACCAAAACAGCUCAGAGUGAGGCCUCUGGAUGUGCAAGGACCAGGGCCUGCAGGACCCUUGCUGGGAAUCUCAUAAGCAAUGAAUGGCUCAUGGCCUUGGGCAAGUUUUCACCUGUGAGGCAGAGCUAGGACUACCCAUGUAAAAGACAGAACAGUUAAUGAAUGCCAAAAUGCCACACUGCUAGCCAAUGCACUGUGGCCAAAAGAUAAUUACAGUAGGCUCACUACACAAAGAGGCCAGACCACAUCUUUGAGAGCACAGCUUUAUUUGGCCUGGAUGCCUCGAGCACAUAUCAUGUAUGGCAGCCCCAUCCUCCUCCAGCCUAUGGACUCUGGACCAGAGCUGCGGCCCACCCCUGGAGGGACCAGUCCUGCUGGCUGGAAGGUAGGUGUCCUGACAGUUGGGGAUCUGAGUUAAGGGGGCGGGGGCCUGGCACGCCUCAAAGUGACAUCAGUGGCGCUGGUGUGCUCAAAGUCAACAGAAGGAUAUUAAGGACGUAGCUCAUCUCCGAUGCGAUAAAUGAGAAUAAACCUUGUUCAGGGCUAAGCCGGCUGGACUAAAUAAAUACCAUUAGCACUUGGAUUACUGGGAUGUUCACAAUCAGCAGGCAAGUCAGCUGUCUGUGUGCAGAGGGACGACAGCAGCUGCUACUCUGUAAAUCUUGCAGGGAGAUGGGCUGGGGGUGGGGCAGGCUGCAAAAAUGGAAGUGAUUGCAUUUGCAAAAACCAAAGAGUUUGGGUCAGGGUGACAGCAAUUUGGGCAAUCAGCCAAGAGUCAGAGGUCAUAUUUUAGCUAACUGAAGCUAAGCAAGUGUCUGGGUGGAAGGGGACUGAAGGAGCUGACCACAGGGAAGGCAGCCCAGCUCGGCCAGGGGGCCCAGGAGAUUGCUGCCCAGCACACACCCCGGGGCUGACUUCACCCUUGGGCUCAGGGCUGGCUACAUAAUUUUCAGGCCCAAGUGCAACAUGAAAACGUAGGGCCUUUUGUUCAAGAAUUAUCAGAAAUUUCAAGACAGUGAGAACAGAGCAUGAAGCCAAGCACGGGCCCUUUUGAGUGUGGGGUCCUGUGCCGCUGCACGGGUGGCAGGGCCAACAAGGUAUGUGCACGGAAAUCCUGCUCCAGGGUCAACCAACCGGAACAACAAGGGCUGAAAAGUAAGCUUGAAUUUCUGAAAAGGAAAACAACUGGAAAAGGCAGAGCUCUAGGAUGGGAAUAAGGAUGAGGGUGACUAGUUAGAUGGGGGCCAAGGAAAUGCUAAGGUGUAACUGAAGAGAGCUUCUGUGAUUGAGACUGCCAGGCCAGACCAGGACACCAGAGGCACAGCAGAGGGAUGUGCUCACUCACGCGUCCUCGUGACAUUUCUAAGUGCAACAAAUACUCUUUUCAUUCCCUUAGAACAGGAAAAAACUAUUAUUUUUCUUCUGAAAUGCCUCUGAGAUGAUGCCAUGCACUGAGGGCAGAGGGCACAUCUCAGGGGUAUAUGGGGCCAGGCUCAAUCAUUCACCUGAUGAAGUGCAGCUCACCUUCUUGCCCAGAAAGAAAGAUUUCCUCUGGUGGCCCCACCUUGCUUAUGCCUUAAUGUGUGGCCUCCAUCAUCUGGGAAAGCAAGAAUUUGCAGGAUGUGUAAUCCUGAAAUAGAUGGGUUCAAGAGACAUCUAUAUUUGCCUGCCAUCCAGGGAUGAGUGGGGCUAGGUAAUCAAUCAGUUAAGAUACAAACAAUUGGCUGGGCGCAGUGGCUCACGCCUGUAAUCCCAGCACUUUGGGAGGCUGAGGCGGGCAGAUCACUUGAAAUCAGGAGUCCAAGACUAGUCUGGCCAACAUGGUGAAACCCCGUCUCUACUAAAAAUACAAGAGUUAGCUGGUGUGGUGUCAGGCACCUGUAAUCUCAGCUACUCGGGAGGCUAAGGCAGGAGAAUCGCUUGAACCCAGGAGGUAGAGGUUUCAGUGAGCUGAGAUCACGCCACUGCACUCCAGCCUGGGCAACAGAGCAAGACUCUAUCUUAAAAAAAAAAAAAAGAUACAAUUACCGAAUUGAAUAAAAAUGGAAUAGGUUUAACAACAACAACAACAAAAAACAAAAAACAAAACAAAAAAAACACUGUACAAAUCUUCCACUACAAAGUCAAGCUUCCAGGAAUAACAAAACACAUGAGCUGCACAUCACUUUGUGUUGGGACCUGUAUGGCCUCAGGAGUUCCAUCUGGACACUGGGGAAAGGCAGGGCUAUCAUCUGACCCCUUCAUGUACAGCCCCCAACUGGAAGCCACCCACGUAAGCAACUAUGAGACACCCACUCCUCACCACAGUAACAGCAACUCACAAGAGGGUCUCUAGACCCUACUGACAGACACACACACAAUACACACACACAGACACAAUCAUCUGCCCACCUCUGAGGAGAUAAAGGGAACCUCAGAGGGAGGGGCAGCAAAUCACCUUCCUGAGGGUCAUCUGGUAGCUCUCCAACACAGCCCUGUGUCACAAUCACCUGGGCAGUUUAUUUCCUGAAACCAUUUCAGACUAGUGCUUUAAAAAAUUACAGAAAAUAGGCCAGGUGUGGUGGCUCAUGCCUGUAAUCCCAGCACUUUGACAGGCUAAGGUGGGAGGACUGCUUGAGUCCAGGAGUUUGAAACUAGCCUGGACAAGGUGGUAAAAUCCCCGUCUCUGCAAAAGUAAAAAAAAAAAAAAAAAAAAAUUGCCGGGCAUGGUGGUAUGCACCUAUGGUCCCAGCUACUCGGGAGGCUGAGGUAGGAGGAUCACUUGAGCCCAGGAGGCUGAGGCUGCAGUGAGCUAUGGGCAACAGAGUGAGAUUCUGUCUCUCUAAAGAAAAAAAAAUUAUAGAAAAGUAAUUACACAAAAAAAUGACUUACUGGAAAGCUGCAAGAAUAGUAAAUAAACUCCCAUCCAGAUUCACCAAUUGUGGACAUUUACCACAAUUUUCUGUCUCUCUUAAUAUUUACACAGAUUUUCUUUUUUAAAAUAUUUGAGAGUAAUUGAAGAUAUGAAGACCCUUUACCCCUAAACAUAUCAGUGUGUAUGUCCCAAGAACAUAACCAAAGUACAGUGAUCAAAAUCAGGAAACUAACACUGACACAGUAAUCUACAGAUAUUUAUUCAGCUUUUGCCAGCUGUCCCAAUAAUAGUCCUUACCCCCCACUCUUUCCUCUUUUUAAGAAACACUUUUUUUUUUUUUUUUGUAGAUGGGGGUUCUCACGAUAUUGCCCAGGCUGGUCUUGAACUCCUCCUAGCUUCAAGCAAUCCUCCCGCCCUGGCCUCCUAAAACGUUGGGAUUACCGGCAUGAGCCACUGCACAGAGCCCUCUCAAUAAUAUUGUUUUUAGAAAAAUAAUUUUGACCCCACGUCCGAUUUAUGCCCAUACGAUGUACACAGCAGCCUGUCUCCUUGGUCUCCUUUCAUCUGGAACUGUCCCUUAGUCUUGUCUUUCAUGACACUGACAUUUAUGAAAAGUGCAGGCCAGUGGUAGAAUGUUUCUCAGUUUGGAUUUGUCCAAUGUGUUCUAAUGAUUAGACUGAGGCUGUGGCUUUGGCAGGAAUACACAAACACAAUGCCGUAUCUUUCUCAGUGUAUCACAUAGGAGGGCAAGUGAUGUCCAUAAGUCUCACAAUUGGAUGUUUUCUUUGCAUACUUGGUUAUGGUGGUAUCUGCCAGAUUUCUCCACUAUAAAAAUACUAUUUGUUCCUCUGAAAUUAAUAUUUUGUGGGGAGACACUUUGAGAUAUGAAGACAGCCUAUUCCUCAUCAAACUUUCAUGUAGUCGUUUUGGCAAUCAUUGACAAUUCUUGCUUAAUUAUCCCAGGUUAAGCAUCUUAAGUCCAAAAAUCUAAAAUCCAAAAUGCUCUAAAAUCUGAAACUUUUUGGGCAUCAACAUGAUGCUCAAAGGAAAUGUUCAUUGGAGCACUUUGGAUUUUGGAUUUUUGGAUCAGGGAUGCUCAAGUGGUAAGUAUAUAAUGCAAAUAUUCCAAAAGCCAAAAAAAAAAAAGAAAAUCCAAAACAUUUCUAGUCUCAAGCAUCUCAGAUAAGGGAUGUUCAACCUGUACCAUGAUGUUUGUCAAAUGAUGAUAUUCAAACUCCUGUCUUUAUUUUUCUUGUUUCUAUCUUUAUUUGCUGGCAUUCUACCUAAAAGAAGAGGUUUUCCUUCUUUCCUAUUUCUUCAUUCAUUCAUUUACUGGUAUCAGUAUGGAUUAAUAGAUUCUUAUUUAAUCUAUGGAAUGGCAUCCAUUUCUAUCAUUUACUUCAAUGCUCAAAUUAUCCUUAAUCACCAGGCAUUUUCAUGCUGGCUUCUGUGUCUUUUUAACAUGUUUCCAUCACCCUUUAAUAUUUUCUUACCUUCUGGCACAGGAUGUUCUUGUACAAGAUAUUGCUCUUUUCCCGUGCCAGCCAUGGAAUCAGCCAUUUCUCCAAGGAACAAUUGGAGCCCUUUUUGAAAAUACAGACUCCAAGCCCUACCCUGCAUAUACUAAAUCAUAAUCUCAGAGAACGUGGCUCCGAAGACCUGAUUUUUCAUAAAUGCCACAUGUGAUUCCUACGUUCUGAGGACAAGCAUUUGGGAUAACUAGAGUCAAUGCUCAACCUUUUAUCCAGUAUAGCAUCUCUGGUAAUUGGCAGCCCAGUACUUGAAGACUACAUCAUCAAACAAGGCAGCUUUACGCUAGUUUAAAACUCCUCCAAUUGCCAGAAAAACAUAUUCUGAUACUGAGCUGAAAUCUGCUCUCAUGAAGCUUAUACCCUCUGGUCCUAUACCCUCUGGUCCUAAGUCUACCCUUGAAGAAAGAAAGGGUUGCCUGAUCUUGUCCUGACAGGUCAGCCCUUCUGAAAGUUGGGAGCAGCCAACCAUCCAGAGAAAGCUCCCCUCUCACAACGUGGCCUCACGGGAUUCUGCAGUCAUUCUCAGGGUGACUCUUGAAACUCUCCACUUUCCUGACAAUGCUCUAUGGGACCCUGUUCCACUUACUGAUGAAUCCCUACAGUGGUGGUGCCCAAACCUACCCUCAGGGAUCCAGGCUGGACAACCCCCCACCCACAGUCCAAUGGGCCUGGCUGCCUCUGCCCCAGGGCCACUCUGCCCCUAAUGCCUCAAUCUCUAGAUUUUUGUUAGUAGCCUCACAGAGCUUACAGUGGCCUGCCUAGGUCAAAUCCCUAAAGGCUGCUCACAUGAUCUUCUGAUGAGCCAGGGGGUCCCCAACAUGGCUCUGAAGCCAAGCACAGGGCUUCGAUUUUAUUCUUACUAAAGAAUAAAUAUUGUCAGGAGGCAAAAAGCAAAUUACAAAUGGUAUGGGUGAUAUGACACCAUAUAUUUAUUUCUGGGUGGUGAAUUUUUGUUUUAAACAAGGAAUCUGAAUUACUUAUAAAUUAGAAGUUUAAUAACAAUAAAAUUUAACAUGCCACUUGGCUACCUAGACCCUUCCUCCUAGCCUGUCACUAUUCUUUUGGAUUCUCACUGUCAUGUAUCUUACAUGGUUAUCUCUUCCUGAUCCGUGCCAUCUGUUCCCACAUCUUCACAUGAGAACCAGAAUGCAGGUUAGACAGACAGAGUCUGCCACAAGCUCUUUGGCACAUCACUACAGUGAAGGCUCUGUUGACAUUGAACCACUUGAACCAUUUCUAAAUAAACAUUGAUUAAGUCUGAUUGUUCAAGCUGCUACAAAUCUACGUCUUUUUUUUUUUUUUUUUUUUUUGAUUCAGAGUCUCACCUCACUCUGUCACCCAGGCUGGAGUGCAGUGGCGCAAUCUAAGCUCACUGCAACCUCCACCUCCCAGAACUCAAGCUUAAUUCUCAUGCCUCAGCCUACCACGUAGCUGGGACUACAGACACACACCACAACACUAACCACCAUGCCCAGUUUUGUUUUGUUUUUGUUUUUGUUUUUGUAUUUUUAGUGGAGAGAAGGUUUUGCCAUGUUGGCCAGGCUGGUCUCGAACUCCUGGCCUCAAGUGAUCUGCCAGCCUUGACCUCCCAAGUGCUGGGAUUACAGGCGUGAGCCACGGCACUCGGCCUCAAAUCUACGUCUUUAUUAUCAUUUCUCUAUCUGAUCUAUUAGAUUAUUAUGAGAUUCUGUCAAAUGAUUUCCUGAAACGCAGACUUCCUCUGUGUCUAUUAUACCGGCCUAAUCUGCCAGCCUGGCAAAUCUUAUGAAAAAGAAAAUUAGAGUUGGGAGGAACUUGAGACAGUCUUCUGGGGUACUGAUAAUGUUACAUUUCUGGAUCUGGGUGGUGGUUACAUGGGUGUCUCCACUUUCAAUAAUUCAUCAAGUAGAAUGUGUUAAACUUUUCUAUAUGGAGGGAUGGGGGAGGGAGGACUUAAGCAUUAAACUAGUCCAGCAAGACCUGGUUUUAUGGAACCCACACUAACUCUAAGAAAUGACCUCUUUUCUUUAAAAAUACUCUUAAGUCACAUCUCAAAAACUUGCUCUGUUAUUUUGAAAACCAGAACAGUUGCCCAUUGUGUCUCCUUGCCCCUCUCCCAAUCCCCAUAAUGCCAUAAAGAUUUCUGCACACAGUUUGAUGAUGAUGUCCCUAAGUUUCUGUCUGGCAUUUAAUUUUUCAGACCCUGUCUAAUUUGGAGAAGCCAGUGGUUCAUUUACACUUUUUGUACACUCCUGGUCUCAAGUUCCACUUAACUCUAUGUUUGUUUUACUUUCUGCAGGAAGGCCAUUCUCCUUGAGAGAGAAGGCAGAGGCAAACAGAAUAAGCAGUAAGGACAGAGAUGCCCUCUAUGGCAUCUGCUAAAUCACCUGAUUGAACCAGGUGGCCUAAAGCCUUCCUUGCCAUCCCUCUCACUCUCAACAGUAGCUGCACAGGCGCCUUUGUUGUUCUUAGUGUUUCCCAGGUCUCACCCAUCUGGUGCUCCUGACACUGUUCUCGGAGGUUGCAUCCACUUCUCUAUUUGCUCUUGGUUACAGGUCCCUUUUUCAUCUCUAGACAAAAUCUCAGCUCGAACUGUGCCCCCUGAAGCCAUGUGGGUCUCUUUAGGUGGCUCCCUGUUCCCUGCAGUAAUCACUCGUGACUCUAUUAAGUACACUUCAUUUUUCAAACUCUAAGUCAUCUUUCCUUUUGAAGCUCCUGUUCAGACAUCAUAUCUACUUUUUCCUGGACCCUCUGAAAUUUACUUUCCCUAAAACUCAGAGGCAGAGAGUUUUACCUUCCCCUUUUAGCUUCUCCAAACACAGUCACUUUCUGCUGAUGUUCUCUAGACUUUUUUUUUUUUUUUUUUUUUACCAGACAGAUCCUUCUUGUUGCUCAGAAUAUAAUUUCAGUGAGGCCCUUCUCCUUAUUGCUUCCUUAACCUCCUGAGAGAGAAAACUGUCAGAAAAGAGAAUUAAGAAUUAAAGCAAGUGAAGAAUUUAUUGGUUUCUUUUUUUUUUCUAGAAGAUUUCCAACUGCCCAGAUACCCCGUGCACCACGCCAGUUUGCUUCUGUGCCAGUUUUAUAAUUUCAAUUGAGAAAGCCUCUUCUACACGGAGGCCCAAACCCAGGAAGCAAAACACUGAGUGCUGCUCUGGAGUCAGAGAGACCUAGGUGAAAGUCCGAGAUUCUAGUGUUUUCAGCUGUGUGACUGAGGUAAGUUACUAAGCCUCUCUGUACCUCAGUUUCUGCAUUUGUAAAACAGGGAUUAAUAACAAUAAUAUUUAUCUCAUGGGAUUGUUGCGGGGAUGAAAUGUGAUUUUAUAUACAUAAACAUACCCAGAGUUCCUGGCAAAUGCCAAGCAUUAGGAUAACAGCUGUUUUAUCAUAAUAUACCAUUUAACAAAAAUUAUUAUUUUUACUUUUCUGCUAAGACAGAAUGCCAGGGUUUUCAGGCUUCUCAGAAGGGAGAGGAGCUAUCUGUGUUGGGGGACAAAGAAGACCUCCCACUGAGUGGCCUUAGAUUCCCAUUCUCAGCUCCUCUGACUGGAUAGACAAAGCCAGUACAGAAGGAAUUCAUGGGGGAGAAAUGUAAUUAACAAGCUAGAGGGAGAGAUUGGGAGGAAGGAUCAAAGCAGCUAAUUAGAACUGGCUAAAGGGAGACCACAGGGUAGGGAACAUGGAAGAAAGCGGGCUAAAGAGAAUUAUCUGCAGCCUCUAAUUAUUCAAAGAAUGUCCCUGAGUAAUUGUCUCAGGCAGUCUGAGGGAGGCAAGGCAGGAGUAACAAGGUUAAGCAGAAGAAAAUUUAAGCUAAAACAUACGGGAGAUUUUUCACACACUGAGAUUUAUCAACUUUAUUAGAGAACACAGAGGAUGUUAUUUUAGGUCUUCUAUACUCAGUUGGUGGUAUAACUAUCCCCAUGUCUGGUGGCUGGGGGAGAGCGGAGGAGGCCAGACCCUGCAGGGCAAGAGGGGAUCCAAGGAAAUGGCCCACACAAUCCUUGCUCCAAGCUUAUAGGCAACACACCUUGUCAACCCGCCCUUUGAGGCUCAGGAAAGAGCUUCCUUCCUCACUCAGAUCUGCACUCCCUCCAACCUCCACAUCCCCUCACCCUCCUUGUGUUCUGUCAUAAACUUGAUAAACAUGAUAAAUCUCACUGUGUGAAAAAUCAUCUCCUCAAUCAGAGCCAGUGGAAUCACGCAGGGCCUAUUUUGCGUUUGCCACACAACUGUAGGAAUGUUUAUGAAUGAGCCAUCUCUUAAUAGCAAAAGAAAAGGCAAUGAUCGUAGGACGGUCUAUAGCUGAAAAUGACAACACUGAAAUACUUCGUUUACAGGAUUUGGAAGUCGUAUAGACUACAAAUCUCUCUGCUGUGCAACACACAUAACAAGUCCCCAAAAUAUCCUUUGUUUGCUGAGGUUUUGCUCAGAUAUUUAAGGUUCUGACAGUUUAAAUAUGGUGAACAAUAUGGUGAACCAUCCAAAUAUUUUGCAUCAUUGGUAUUUGGAAAGAUCUUUAAGAACAAUUAGUUCUAGUUCAGAGAGGCAAGUGCAGCACCCAGGCUCCCGGUUUUCCGUGGGGGCGGAUCAACAUGGCCUCCUCAGCUAGCUGCAUUUCACAGGGAGUCUCAGGCCCCCCUAGCAUGGGUUUCCUAGGCCUGGCCACUUGGCUCACAUUGUAACAGAGAAGAAAACUGGGCAGAUCCGCUGACUCCUCAGCUAGGCGCGGGGUUCACCAGGUCUCACUGGAGGCUGAGAAAAAUACAGAGCUUCCCGGAAGCAGGAACAACACUGGGAGGCCUGACCUUGCUCAAGGCCCUUUGACCUGACUCACCAGACCGGAAUGGGAACCUAAAGGAAAGUGGAGACUUCCCAUUCUGUGGAAAUCUUUAAGAACUGGAGAAAAGUUCCAAUUACUUACAGCUUCAAGGGACAGAAUGAUGGAUGGCUUUGUUUGCAAACAUGCUAUUUGUCUGAGGCUCUUUGUCCAGUCAGCUGGUUGACAAAUACUGAUCACGCCCAGUGUGCACAGGGACCUCAGUUAAGAAUACCAGGGCUAGAGCAAAGAACGAACAUAGUUCCUGUCUCUAUCAGACAAAAUUAACAGCCGACAGAGACGCGCAGAGAGCCACUCUGAGAGAAGCCACUGGGUGCAAGGGUUGUCUGAAAAAUGGAGGAGCUGAGCAGGAGGGCAUGCUGGAGGAAUGACCUUGACAAGAUCAAAAGUUAUUAAAAUAGGAGGAGGAAAGCUAAACUUCUGUAUGUACUGCCCAACUGAAGGCAGAUGAAAACCUCCUUUUUUCCCCAAAAGAAAAUGUUAAGAAUCACCUUCCACAGACUCUUUUAACUCUAUUUCUGAUAAAUCAUUAAAAGGCCUUCUGCUGGAAUCACUCAAAUACCAAAGAAAAAGUUACACUCGUAAAAUAGUUAAUGUCAAAACGUAAAUGGUUUGUUUAAGAUUCAGCAAUUGUUGCUGAAUCAAACACAAAAUCUCUAUGGCUUGAAUAGCAAGGGAAACAAAAGGCUUGACGAUUUAGUGCUCGUUAAAGCCUGUCUGGCUGAAUUUUAGAUUGCAACUUAAAAGAAAAAAACAUUAAACCAGUUCAAGUGUGAACUGACAUAUGCACAGCAGUUUUCAGCUGCCUGCAAAUGGGGCAAGGACACAGCCUGGAAUGUGACUUGCACACGCCAUGGCUGAGUAUGGACCAAUGUCCAGGGUACAAGGGCAGGGCCUGAGGGAACCCGACAAGAAAGCGUGGGGAAGCUGAGCCCAGGGGCCCACCAGGGGCUGAGGGUGACGCUGGGAAGAGGGCCAAUCCCCAUUAGCUCUUUCCUGCAGGGAGGCUGGGGGCUUGAGAACAAUCAAAUGCUAGGCAGGGGCUUCCCUCUUGCCUGGGGAGGUGGGGAAGCAACAGCUUUUUGCUGUCCCUCCCCUUUUCUGGCCUUGCUUGUCAGACACUUCCAUGAGCCACAGUGGGACUCCUGCCCUUUCAAAUCUCAUCACAGGCCUGGUGACCCCCACAACCCUCAAAUCGGGUGUUAGAAAUAGUCCUUUGUGGUAGGUUUGUGGGGUGCUGAGCAGAAUCUUUGUCUACAUUCUCUUGCCUACUGGGAUAUAAACGCUUAAAAUUUCACCAUCUGGGAUUUACUUCUUUGAGUCUUAAAGACAAUUCUGUCUUUCAGGGUCCUCUAUUAAAAUGCCAUUGUCCCUGGGUUGGGAGGACCCUGUAUAAGUAGGGUGACCACAUAAUUUAUUGUCCAAACCGGGACACUUUUGAGAGUGAAAGGGGCACAAUUAAUUACUGCACUGGGACAAGAGGCAUAAACAGAACAUAUGGUCACUCUCUGUAUAAAGCUUUGUGUUAAGUUCUAUGGAAGACACAAAGGUGAAUAAAGCACUUUCAUGGUCCUGGAACCUGGACCUUGAGCUGAGGGGCAGGAGAUCCUGGGAAUAGGCUAACUCUAGGCACCCACGGAGGGGGAUAACAGCACUCCAGAGGGAAGUGUCAUGGCAGCUUAGCAAAGACCAAGGGCUCUGGAGCCACACAGAUUUGACUUUGAAUCCUGGACUUCUUUCUGUACAACCUUAAGACAGGUCAAUUAACCUGCCUCUCAGCUCAAGGUCCAGGUUCCGGGACCAUGAGAGUGCUUUAUUGACCUUUAUAUCUUCCAUAGAACUUAACACAAAGCCUUAUACAGAGAGUGACCAUAUGUUCUGUUUAUGCCUCUUGUCCCAGUGCAGUAAUUAACUGUGCCCCUUUCACUCUUAAAAGUAUCCCAUUUUGGACAAUAAAUUAUGUGGUCACCCUACUUAUACAGAUGAGGACCCAGCUUCCUCAUCUGUCAAAUGAGGGUUACUUCAUGAGGCUACCGAGGAUUAAAUGAGAUACCAAAUGUAACAGUACCUGGCAUGUAAUUUUCAACAAGUUCAAUAUUGCUAGCAUAAUCAAGACCAGCCUUCCACUCAAACCCCCGUUACUGCUGGAAAUGUCCCAAGUCAGAAGGUGGGGGCAAGGCAGGAAGAGAAAACCACUAAAAUGGCAGACUUAGUUUAGCUUCCCUCCAAACUAAUCCUCCAAGGGCCACCACCCAGGGCUGGGCAGUGAAAGGACCAGGAUCACAGUAGCUCCUGAGGAGUGGACCACCCGGCCGCCUUGCUCUCCUGGUGCCCCUUCCUCCUGGUCUUAGGCUUCACACACUGACCCAGCCCCUCAGCUACUGCUCCAUCCUCAACUCCUGGAGGCAGACACCACCCACCAGGCUUCCUCAGGCCAUUUCCCUCGGCGGGCGGGUGUAGGGGGGUGGUGACUUUCCAAAGUGACUGAGCCCUGUCCUGAUGGCCGGGUAAUGCUGUCUGGUGGGCACUAGUACAUCUUCCUGUGCCUCUUGUGACAGAAAUGCCAAAAACAAACAAAACAAAAAACCCGCAGCCCCUCAUCGCCAUGAGAGGAGGGGAUUCUGGAGGCCACCAUUUAAUAGCUCUCAAGUGCUUUUCAAGCAUUAAAUCAUGCCAUCCUCAUGACAACUCAAUGAGGCAGACACCAUUACUCCCAUUUUGCUCAUCAACAAACUGAGUCAUAGAAAGCUAAGUAAUUUUCCCAAGGUCACAUAGCUAAUAAGUAGCAGAGUCAUGAAAGCUCUAGAAUAGGAGCUAAGAAAACUGGAUUCCACUGGGGACACGCCGCAAAUUACUAGCCUAAUGGCCAGGAAGGAGGCCUUAACUUAUCUCAAUUUGACUUCUAUUAUUUGUCAAGAAGCUGUGCUACUUCACCAAUGGACCUGCUGUGAGUAUCGAGUGAGAUAGGGCAGGUGAAAUCACUGUACAGGUGUUUACUAUUAUGAUGCCCUGGCAACAUCCUCCAUCGUUGUGUUUCUGAGAGCUGGACCCAGUAUGGAGGAGGAGAAUCCUGGUACCCUGCUGUUCUUUCCUCCCUUGGGCCCUGCACACUCUGGCUCAAGGUAAAGGAGGAAUUACUCUAAAGCAGUGGUUUUCCAAGUCUGAUCUCUGGGCCAGCAGCACCAGCAGUAUCUGGGAGCUAGUUAGAAAUGCAAAUUCUCAAGCGUCACCCCAGACUCACGAAAUCAGAACCAUUAGGGGAGGGGCCUGGCCAUCUGCAUUUUAACAAGGCUUCCAGGUGCUUCUGAGGCAUGCUUAAUUUUCAGAACCGCUAGGCUAGAGUAUCCCUGGACAGAUAACAACCUGGGCCUCUCUCACCCUGGUGGGCCUGAGGCAGGACCCAGCAUUGGCCAGAAGACCCAGGCCGUGAGGGCCACUGCCCCAAAGAUGAAAAGCUCCCAAUAAAACCCAGACCUACAUGGCUGCACUGAUCAAAAUACAAUAAAGAAGAAAGUGAGAAAUCUGACAAAAAGAAAACGCAGCUUCAGUGGGGGUCAAAAUACAACAAUCUUCUGUGGGAGAUGAGAAGCAUAAAAGGGACGUUAGAUGUUCAAAGAACCAAAUGUCACAACGACAAAAAAUACAAGAAUAAAGACAAAGUGUGGAUAUCAAUGCCACAUGGGCCUCAGUCUAAUGAUGGCAGUUGCAGGGAACAGCAGCCCCCCCAGGACUAGAGCCUGCUUUCCCCCGCCCCCAACACGACAGCCUAUAUAAAUAGAGUCUUGAGGAAAAAAUUACCAGCAAUUAGUCAUGAAUCUGCUUGCUGGAAUGAGGAGAAACUUGUGGAAAGUCACCAGAGGCUCUGGUGGGAAAAGCUCAGCUAAGGAGGCCACGCAGACAGGGCAAGAGCAAGACGACUAAGGGAGAAGGCCUGUGGGGUGUUCCUGCAACCUUUGAUGCCUUCCAAGUCUUAACCUGGAAGGGAAAAUGAAGGGCCUGGCCACUGGGCUAUAACGAGCUCCAAACUGGGCCCACAUCCAAGUCGGAAGUCCUUUAAUGUGUGCUUGGGCUGGAGGUGGGGCAGGUGAAUGAGGAGGAAGAGUCAGCAUAGCAGGCCCUGCCCUGGGUUGCAGGUACCUUGGGGGGAUGAGGCGGUAGAGCACAGCUUCUGACCACAGUGCCUCCACCACAGAAAGCCUGUGCCACACAGGUCCUCCCCUGGCCCCUGGGGAAUAUGCUUCAGAAGCAGUGACAGCAGCAGGCUCAGCGUUUCCAUUCAAGAGGUCUGCUGAAAAUGACCCUGUUUCAGGACCAAAGUGAUGAGGAGGGAGGACCUCUCUUGCCCCGAUGAAUUUCUCAACUCAUCUCCAUCGACAGAGGAAUCUCAGUGUGCUGUGUUCCCCACCGCCUCUGCCUGAGCGCCCUGCCCCUGCCCGUCCCCAUCUUCAUCUGGCCAGUUCCUACUGCAAGAACCCUUCAGACACGAUCUCCUCAGAGAAACACUCGCUGACCUCCUGACCCUCACAGGGCCCCUGCUAUGCAUUCCUGGGGCCCUCCUUCUUUCCAUCCUCUUAACAGACCUGACAAGAUCAGCUUCCCCUCCUAAACCAUGAACUCUCUCAAGGACCUGGACUGUGCCUUGUUGUCUGUUCAACUGUGACCUCACUCUAGAUGGUAGAGCCCAAUGCCCAGCAUGCAAUUAACAGGAGCUGCCUGCAGACACAAGGCUGGCUCUGUGUCCCCUCCCAGCUGAGACACUGAGCCCCAGCACUAGGCACGUGGAUGGGUUGGGCACAUGACCUCCCUCCCUUUCUGAGCACCUUGCCCAUUCCAAGAGCUCACGGAAUCAGACUCCGCGACUGCCCUGAGUUCUGACUUCUCUCCCCAUCUCCCUGCACUUUGAUUCUCUUGACCAUGGGUCCUCCUCACUGCAUAUCCCCUGCCUGCUUGAGAAAAGGGAUGCAGCCCAGAUGGUCAAUAACCCCCUGAGGUCCUCCUCCUAGGAAUGUCUGUAUUUGCUCACAAAGAGAAGUUUAUAUAUAUAAAACCAAGAAACAAAUUUCUAAUGGUAUUAAUUGAAUUUUAGGCAGUAGCAGAAAGAAAAAAAGAUUUGGGAAGCAGGGAGUUUCACUUGAUUCCUGAAAUCACCUCUAGUAGGUAAUGCCCACCUCUGCUGUGUCUAAGAUCAGCCCUGACUCAAUCUUAGGAUUAGGCACCGCCUGCCAGCCAUGGCAGGACAGUCCACAGAUAUGUCCCCAGGUGGCCACUGUCACCUCCUUUCAGCCUGACCUCAGCUGGCUGUCCUCCUUGACAACAGUCCUCUCUGGCUGAAGACUGGAAACUGUAGGCUAGAGCUCCUGCUUUCCUUUCUGGGACUCUAACACAGUACCAGCCCAACUUUCCAUGCCUCUGUCAGGUCAGCAUGGUAUCAGAGAUGGCUGUUUGGCCACUCUCCUCCUGCAAUAAUACUCCACGCUCCACCAACCCCUGUUCCAUCUGAGAGCCACUCACAGUCAGCUCUGCCCGAGGUCCCUGAUAGAUUGGCUGGUGCCAAGGAUCCAUUGAGGAGAUGGCACAGAGCCACACAGGGGAGCAACAACAUUGGAAGAGGGCAAGGUCAAGUUGACAAAUACCAUAUACGAUCAGAAAGAAUUGCAUGAACCGCAGUGGCAUAAUGUAGCAUAACAGAUGGAUAAUUAGAUUUAUUCUAAGAGCUGUAAAAGUAAGUAAUUAAAUAAAAAUAUGGAACAAUGAAUCUGCCACAGAGAGACAUCUAACAGCCUCACAAGGGCCUUGCAGCUGGCACGAGCAGCCUGGGAAGGAAGCAGUGGGCAAGGAACCUCUAACACUGCCCUGAUGUUUUAGGCACAAUAAAUUUAGCACCAGCUCACACUGGGCACAAGGGGACAGCUUGAUCUCAGAGGGGGAUAAUCACACCCAUGGCUGCAACAGUACUGUGCCCUGGGAGUAUGGCCUCUUGUCUGCAUCUGGAAGACAGCAGCCUGAGGUAUUCCGAUAAAUGCCCCACCACUGGCAUGUUUGGAAAGGCCCCUGCAAAGCAAGACUGGCAGAUUGUAUUUAUCUUUGCAGAAGCAGAGGCAGAGAGGAAGGGAGAUGAAAAUGUAUGCACAGAUGACAGGAUUCACUGCCACCAACAAAGGCAGGCUGGGAGACCCAGGUUCAGGUCUCCACUCUCCUCCCAAAGGAUGGUGGCAGAUGGUGAGGGUACAGUUACCACAUAAGAAACACAAGGCAAGCACCCAAUGUGUGCAAAGCAAAGUGUUAGGUACAGGAUUUCACCAGGGAAGCAGCUUCCCUGGACAUGACAUUAGCUAUUUGGAAGCAAACAGAUCAGUUGGAAGUUGUUUUGUAUUAGUUAGGACUCUGUUUUUAAGGGACCAAAAUGAAAUUCAGAGGAAUUUGAAUUCCUUUGAAUUCCUUCCUCAUCUAUGGAAAAGAGAGUGUACUGGGUCCCAUUAUGAAGAGGCAUGACAAAGGUAAAAAGCACAGCUGGGUCCAGAGGCUUAAGUAAUGUGCCAAGGCCCUCUCUCAGCCUGCACCUCUAGGCUUUGCUUCUCUCCAGUUUUCUCCCUGUAAACAGCCAAUCCCAGCAUAAAGGUAACUACAUCCUCCCAAGUGGUAUAGAAUUCCAGGGAAGAUCCUGGCCAACAUGGGGAAACCGUCUCUAUAAAAAUACAAAAAUUAGCUGGGUGUGGCGAUGCGCACCUGUAGUCCCAGCUACUAGGGAGGCUGAGGCAGGAGAAUAGCUUGAACCUGGGAGGGGGAGGUUGCAGUGGGCCAAAAUUGUGGUGAGCCAAGAUUGCGCCACUGCACUCCAGCCUGGGCAACAAAGAGCAAAACUCAAAAAAAAAAAAAGAAUUCCAGAGAAGAACUUUGAUUGGUCCUGCUUGUGUGACACACACACCCCUGGACCAAUUACUGUCCAGAUGGAAGUGAUACUGUGAGUGGCAAGUCUAGAUCACAUGACCAGCCCUAACUGGGAAGGGAACAGGUGGGGCAUAAAGAUUAACAGCCUCACCACACCAUGUGGCACUGGUGAAGAGAUUCCCAAAGGAAAGGAAGUAUUAUUUUCCAAAGAGGAGAACAGAAUGUGUUGAGAGACCAAAAACAACAUAAAUCAAGAGCCUUCAUAGCCCACCACAUUGUUUUAUACCACCCCAGGCCAAGAUACUAGAUGAUAAUUGACUAUCUGGGGCUGGAAUGGGAGGUGGCCAAGUCUAUUAACAGUCUGGUUGGAGAUUUGUUUGCAGAGAUCCCAUGUGACCUACCGGCUUGAAAUGCUCCAAAGGCCCUGCUGCUUGUACUUCUAAAAGCAGCCCAUCCUUGUAGACCUGCCCCUGAGACCAUGCACAGGACUUUUUCUACUUCAAACAGCUCCACUUAGGAAAUCUACACAGCACUAAAAGCAUAGUGAGGAGUUCCCCCAGCAGCCAACUCUUUGCAGGGUUUUCUCACCAACUAACUUGAAUCUUCUUCUCAGAGCACAGACCAUAAAGAUUAACUCCCCUGAACCUGGAAACCUCAGCACCUUUGACGGGGGUCAAGAGCGGGGAUGAGGCUCAGCCCAGAGUUGCUCCCCAUUCACACCAAUGGUUUCACAGGAUAGCUCUCUAUUCCAAUAUACCCCUACAUCCUGGAGAGGGAGGGAAACUCAGCAUAAUAGCUGCAAAAGUAGAAAACUUCCCACAUCCCCAGCACCACAAAAGCUGCCACUUUGCUCAAUGCCUAGCACAAAGGGCUCACAGUGGGGCUCUCCCCACAACCUGGCUUGAAGGAAGAGAGGUCCUUGGCCUUUCCUCACCUCCAGGGCCCACGGCACACUCUUCUAACAUCCUCACUGGGCUCCAACCAACAGGCUCAGUCAUCUCUCUGGCUAAAUAUCAAAGCAGCUUCCCUUCUCAAGCGUGUCCAAAACUCAGGUCUCCUUCAGGCCACACAGAUGACACCCUCCAAAAGCCCAGAAUGAGCUCUGUAGGGUCCCUGGGGAGAGCUGAGACAUAGGAGGCCUCGUUGUUCCAAGGCCAGCUGGGGAUAAGGGUUAUGGGGACCUUUGGAAGCCAGAUCCAGCAGGAGAAUCAUGAGGCUUCAGUUCCUGAGCUCUGCACAUUCUUAAGUGAUUCCGUUGACUUCACCAACAACCUGGGGCCCGCCGAAAGCAGUGGUGCUAGCCAACAUCUGGUCACCAAGUUCUUUCUGCCACCAUUACUUGUCCACUGAGCCUGUCCCUAGAAAUGCAGAAAGACAAAGCUCAGCUCCCAUGUGGAGUACUUAAAUGCUCUAGCCAUGCCUGGUACUCACAGCCACAUUUGAAGGUCUGGUUCAACGCAGCCAUGCUGGGUCCAGAUGUAAGAACCUCAAGCUGGGCUAAAAAGCAGCUUUCCCAUGGGUGAACCCUCUGGCUCAGAGCUCCUCAGGCUGGCUCUGCUGCUGCUCCACACAUGCCACAAUUUACUACAGCUGUUAAGAGCCCCAGAGACAAGAAAGCUCCUCCUUCCCACUUGUUCCCUGCCCUUCUUCAGCACAGGCUGGAACCAAGCACCAGCCAAACCUGGAGAGAACCUCAGAAACUAUGACCCCACCCCACAAACUGAGCUCACACAAUUUUUCUUGAGCCACAAACUAAUUUUUGUUAAUCCCAGAGAAACAGUUCAAACAGCAACUAACCUUUUUCUUCCUUCACAACUAUUAAACUUGGACAAAUACCUCAAAAUAGUACAUGAACCAAGAGUUUAAUCCUUCUCCCCAGAGGCAAAGAGAGGACUAUGUGGGUAACAUGAGGGUAAAACCCUGGGUCCACCAAGUCCAGGACAAACGGGUCCUGGGUCCUCAGGCAAGGGGGACAGAGGGGCAAUAAGAGCAGAAGGGAGGACAACCCAGGGCUGAGGCCCCAGUGAUGGGGGUAGAGAAGCCCUUGUUCAGUCCCAGCAUGGAGCUGAGGCUGGCCACAGUAUUCCUACAGUACAGCAGGAGCGACACCUGCCUGCCACCUGGCUGAAGGGAUCUGGGCAAACUGAUGAGUCCACCCCCAAGCCCAAGCCAAUUAAAGGUUAUCCUUAUACAAUUAAAGGUUGUGUAACAUAUGUAACAAACCUGCGCGUUGUGCACAGGUACCCUAGAACUUGAAGUAUUUAAAAAAAAAAAAAAAAAAAAAAGGUUGUGUAAGAAUAAAGUGGCCCAGAGAAUGAUCAUGAAUGCUAAAACACAGAAUCCAAAGGGCUCAUGCCAGAAAACCCAACAGCAACUUCUGUGUCUUAUUUUAUAAUAAGUAAUUUAAAUAAUUAUAAAUCAUGUAAGUUCAUGGUAAAGAAAAAAAAAAUCAAGCAGUAUAGAAGAGUGCAAAAUAGAAAGGAAAAGUCCCUGUUUCUCAGACCAUCAGAGGUAAGAGCAGAGUUUUUUCUUUUUUCUUUUGAGACAGGGUCUCGCCCUGUCACCCAAGCUGGAGUACAGUGGUGUGAUCACAGCUCACUACAUCCCUGAGCUCCCAGGCUCAACUGAUCCUCCUGUUGCAGCUUCCUAUGUAGCUGGGACUAGACAUAUGCCACUGCACCUGACUAAAUUUUUUUUUAAUAUAGAGCUGAGGUCUCACUAUGUUACCCUCAAACUUCUGGGCUCAAGUGAUCUUCCCGCCUCCCAGAAUGCUGGGACUACAAGUGUGAGCCACCGUGUCCAGCCUUGACUAAUUUGUUGUUGUGAUUGUAGAGACUAAGUCCCACUAUGUUGCCCAGGCUGGUCUCAAACUCCAGGCUCAAGUGAUCCUCCUGCCUCAGCCUCCCAAAGUUCUAGGACUACAGGCAUGAGCCAUCACGCCCGGCCCAGAUUUUUAUAUCACAUAUUUAAAAAUAUAUGUGCAAUAUAAAUUUAUAUAUAAAUCUUUACCCAUUUACUUUUUAUAUGAAUGGAUCACGCUUCUACACAUGCUAUUUUCAAUGUAGAGACCCUACUCUCCAGAAAGAAGAGGCUCCUCAGGUCUCUCCGUGCACCCCUUGAUAUCAAAUUGAGCAGCAAACAGAAGAGAACAGGGGUGGCUGGUCAUAUUUUAAAAGACUCCAGGAUACACUAACAUUCCAGAACCAAAAGCUAAAUCCAAAGAGCUCCUCAGGAAAGCGUGAACUCGGCUGCAACGGGGUCUCUCUCUACAGGCCAGGGAGAGGGAAGGCAGCCUUUAUAAACCGUUCCUCUUGGGCUCUCCUGCCUGUGGCUGUUAGCUUCACCUCCCCCAACUUGCCAUCUGAGGGCCUUCAUUCUUCACUGUCAUGCCUGUCACCACCUCUGUCCUCCCCCUUUGGGCCUGCUCUACAGCCUCCGCACUGCUCUGAAACAUCACCACUGGCAGGACUGUGCAACUGAGAACAACAGGAGAUGACCUCACGGCCUUUACAUUCUAAUGCCAGCUCCCAAUUACUUGUACUGUUGAAUAAUUGAAAGAGGAGAAUAAUCCACUCAGCUGAUUUGGGAAGCCAGCCAGGCACACAGAUUAUCUCAGAGUGAAUUAUUCACACUAGGGAUAAUUGGGAGUUGCCCAAACUUCUAUUUGUAGUUCAGGCAUCACGUGGAAGAACAUUCGGUAUGGAAAGUAUGAAAGCUGGAGAGGGAAGGAGCCCCUGUUUCCGGGCCUGGGUUUCCUUUAUGUUGCUUGGGAAGUCAAUGCUCCUCUCUCGGUCUCACUCAGAGUCGGUGAGCACAAUGAUGAUGAUGAUAUUAACAUUAACAAUAUUUUAGUGACAGCUCUUGCUGUAUUUCCUUACAAUGUGCUGUGUUCUGUGCUAUGAGCUUCAUGUGUAUCAUCCUACAUUAUCUCAUUUAAUCCUCACAUGAGUCUGUGAAGCACCACUGUCUUCUUCAUCUCUGAGCUGAGGAAGCUGAGGCUUAGGUUAAGUAACUUGCCCAGAGAUAUACAGCAACAAGCUGUAUGUCCAUCCAUAGACCAGGAUCUUACUCAAGAAGUUCUUUUGCCACACACCUCUUACCUCUCCCACUUUUAAGAGUCUUCCUUACACAAGACAUAAAACUGUAAAGGAUAAAAACACCCCAUUUUUAGUAUAAUACUGUCUACUCUCAUCUUGAAAUUACUGGAUUUCAAGGUAAGAAAAAUGGCUCCCUCCUCUGAAGGUUGGCAAGAAGCCUAUAGGAAGGGGCUGGUCAGCUGGUCAAUCCAUUUCGAGAAAUCCAGUGUCUGGAAGCACAAGCCACUGGCAGACUUCCAGAAGAGCUCAGCCUUCUCUCAUGAUCAAAGACUCAAAAAUGAAACCACUGUCCUCCCCCUGACACGCCACCACUUCAGCCAAGAGGCAGCUACUGAGCUGGGCAGCUCAGCACCGUGAGGCCAGAGCAUGGGGGAAGGGCAUAGGCUCAGUGAGCUGCAAGGAACACCUGCCUCAGACAAGGGUCCAUGAGGUGACUGACUGUCCCUGCAUGUGUGGGGUCUCCUUCCACAGUGCCUAGGACAGAGUCCCCAGAUACUAGGUGUGGUGCCAGUCUCCAGCACGGUCACCGGCGAUCCCCACCAGCGAUCCCAGCCUUUGUGUUGGUGCCUCCCACAUUAACUAUAGAUGAUCUAUGUGACCAAAAGAAUAAAGAGGAAGUGAUGAUGUCGAAUUCUAAGGCUAGGCCACAAAAAGAACUGAAGUUUCCAUCUUGCUGUCCUAUGUUGUUCACUCUGGGGGAAGCCAUGGGGAGACCUGCACAGCCCUGUGGAGAAACUCACAGAGAGAGAAACCGAGGCCUCUCACCAACAACUGGCACCAACCAGCCAGGCGUGUAAACUGGAAGCAGAUUCUCAUACCCAGUCAACACCCUGCCUACAUUUCCAAAUUCCUGACCCAAAGAAACAGAAAAAUAAUAAACUAUUACUGUUGUUUUAACCCACUA